GAUGAACGCUGGCGGCGUGCCUAAUACAUGCAAGUCGAGCGAACGGACGAGAAGCUUGCUUCUCUGAUGUUAGCGGCGGACGGGUGAGUAACACGUGGAUAACCUACCUAUAAGACUGGGAUAACUUCGGGAAACCGGAGCUAAUACCGGAUAAUAUUUUGAACCGCAUGGUUCAAAAGUGAAAGACGGUCUUGCUGUCACUUAUAGAUGGAUCCGCGCUGCAUUAGCUAGUUGGUAAGGUAACGGCUUACCAAGGCAACGAUGCAUAGCCGACCUGAGAGGGUGGUAGGCCAAACGGGAAAUGGGACACGGACAAGAGCCCGACGGGAGGGAGAAGUGGGAAAUAUUCGACAAUGGGCGCAAGCCUGACGAAGCAAUGCCGCGUGAGUGAAGAAGGCCUUCGGGUGGUAAAGCUCUUUUGUGGGGGAAGAAAAGAUGUAGAAGAAUACGCACCUGUUUUGACGGUACCAAAAGAAAAAGCCCCGGCUAACUACGGG
rnacentral:rRNA from 1 species